UACGUAGGGGGCAAGCGUUGUCCGGAUUUAUUGGGCGUAAAGAGCUCGUAGGUGGUUCGGUAAGUCGGAUGUGAAAUCUCCAGGCUCAACCUGGAGGGGUCAUUCGAUACUGCCGUGACUAGAGGUCGGUAGGGGAGUGUGGAAUUCCUGGUGGAGCGGUGAAAUGCGCAGAUAUCAGGAGGAACACCCGUAGCGAAGGCGGUACUCUGGGCCGAUACUGACGCUGAGGAGCGAAAGCGUGGGGAGCGAGCAGG
rnacentral:rRNA from 1 species